UGUAGAGGAUGAAAGGAUCAAAAGAAUUCAAUGGCUUGAGUCCACGUUCAACCAAAGUGGAGAAGUUCGUGUAUGGGUGGAUAUUAAGAUUGACAGAGACGUUCACAAGAUGAUGUAUACUAUAUUCAAAAUUGUUUUGAUGGUUGUAAUCGCAUAGUUAUGUUGUAUUUGUUAAUGAUGGUAUUUUAUUUGUUGUAGUUUGUUGUGUUGUUGUUUAUGUGUUGUAUUUAUUUGUGAUGGUAUUUCUUUACAAAGUUAUCAUAUGAAAUAAAUGUUAUUUUUAAUAUAAAA
rnacentral:lncRNA from 1 species